CAGUCGCCACGGUAAUACGUAGGUGGCAAGCGUUGUCCGGAAUUAUUGGGCGUAAAGCGCGCGCAGGUGGUUUAAUAAGUCUGAUGUGAAAGCCCACGGCUCAACCGUGGAGGGUCAUUGGAAACUGUUAAACUUGAGUGCAGGAGAGAAAAGUGGAAUUCCUAGUGUAGCGGCGAAAUGCGUAGAGAUUAGGAGGAACACCAGUGGCGAAGGCGGCUUUUUGGCCUGUAACUGACACUGAGGCGCGAAAGCGUGGGGAGCAAACAGGAUUAGAUACCCCGGUAGUCCCUGUCUCUUAUAC
rnacentral:rRNA from 1 species